rnacentral:rRNA from 1 species
UCGCAGCGGUAGCACAGAGAGCUUGCUCUCGGGUGACGAGCGGCGGACGGGUGAGUAAUGUCUGGGAAACUGCCUGAUGGAGGGGGAUAACUACUGGAAACGGUAGCUAAUACCGCAUAACGUCGCAAGACCAAAGUGGGGGACCUUCGGGCCUCAUGCCAUCAGAUGUGCCCAGAUGGGAUUAGCUAGUAGGUGGGGUAACGGCUCACCUAGGCGACGAUCCCUAGCUGGUCUGAGAGGAUGACCAGCCACACUGGAACUGAGACACGGUCCAGACUCCUACGGGAGGCAGCAGUGGGGAAUAUUGCACAAUGGGCGCAAGCCUGAUGCAGCCAUGCCGCGUGUGUGAAGAAGGCCUUCGGGUUGUAAAGCACUUUCAGCGGGGAGGAAGGCGGUAAGGUUAAUAACCUUGUCGAUUGACGUUACCCGCAAAAGAAGCACCGGCUAACUCCGUGCCAGCAGCCGCGGUAAUACGGAGGGUGCAAGCGUUAAUCGGAAUUACUGGGCGUAAAGCGCACGCAGGCGGUCUGUCAAGUCGGAUGUGAAAUCCCCGGGCUCAACCUGGGAACUGCAUUCGAAACUGGCAGGCUAGAGUCUUGUAGAGGGGGGUAGAAUUCCAGGUGUAGCGGUGAAAUGCGUAGAGAUCUGGAGGAAUACCGGUGGCGAAGGCGGCCCCCUGGACAAAGACUGACGCUCAGGUGCGAAAGCGUGGGGGAGCAAACAGGAUUAGAUACCCUGGUAGUCCACGCCGUAAACGAUGUCGAUUUGGAGGUUGUGCCCUUGAGGCGUGGCUUCCGGAGCUAACGCGUUAAAUCGACCGCCUGGGGGAGUACGGCCGCAAGGUUAAAACUCAAAUGAAUUGACGGGGGGCCCGCACAAGCGGGGGGAGCAUGUGGUUUAAUUCGAUGC